AGCUCCUGAAAUGAUCGUUUGCCUUAUGAAUCCUAGGAAGGAUCAGGCUAUAUCAAGAGCUCAGAAGAACCGUCUCUGCUGCUGAAGUCAAACCUUAUCCAAAAAAAUUAACAGGCACUUGCUCCUACUCUCGAGCCCCUUAAAAUCAGCAAAGCCCGAGAAGACCGUGUCCUCCUGGGUGAACAGCUUCUUAGACACAUUCUUCUGGGGACCAGCCUAACUUUGUUUGGCUGACAUGAAGAAAAAGGAUUUUUAUCCAUAUAGAGACCAACACUGCCAGGGGAGUGGCCAGGGUGUCCCCAGAGGCACAGAAGGUCAGACAGGCCUGUGAUGAAGAGCCAAAGAGAGGCAGUGGGCGGCUGAGGACUGAAUAUCUGAGUGGCAGCUCUCGGCCAAGUUGGCUUCCCCACUUGGGUCUCCCUGUCAGGUUGGAG